UUAAUUGAAACCAAAGAUGAGGUAAAUUAUUGUUAAUAAUUUUAUUGAAUAAUAAUUCCAAUUAAA
rnacentral:tRNA from 1 species